rnacentral:lncRNA from 1 species
UUUGGCCUUUUGAUCAUUUGAUUUUUAUUUAACAGUCUAAAUAAUUUCAUACUAAAUUGAUCAUGAUAGUGAUAUCCGAUUGAAGUAAAAUUUUAAUAGUGUGUUACAAAUAUCAUCGAGAUCAUUGUUACAAAUUUUCAAAUCCAUUGAUGGUCCCUAUCUAUCAGAUCAUCAUGCAGUCGUUUGCGACUGUCGAAAUUAAAUUUUAAUGAUCGAUAUACCUAGGGCCACC